rnacentral:lncRNA from 1 species
UACGGCUGAUAGUUGAUGAUUGUGGCUGAACUGGAGGAUGAGCAAAAGUUUUCAAUGGUAUUAGAUGAAGAGAUACAGGACAUGCUGGGUCACCUGGGUUUUGAUAGCUAUUGGCCUUAGUCACUCGGCUACAACCUUGUCGAUCAAGCUAAUAGCAGGAAAGCUUCAUACCACUACAGGAUGUGGAAGGAACCCCCAAACCCAACCAUAGGUGGCUUGUUUACUGUUAAAGAACCCGACUGAUUCUGAAGCAUACAAUUACGAGGUGUUUCAGAUGAUUAUGGCUGAUAGUAGUUGAUUGUGGCUAGACUAUGGAAAAGGAUAUUCAACCUGAAGAUCUUCCAGCAAAUGUGUGAAAUAUUGGGUAAACCAAAAACUUGGUGAAGCAGCACGGAACCAGUUAACAAAUGUGAGGCAUCCAUGCUACUCUUUUUUUGAGGCUAAUUGUUGCUGAUUGUGGCUAGACUAUGGAAAAGGAUAUUCAACCUGAAGAUCUUCCAGCAAAUGUGUGAAAUAUUGGGUAAACCAAAAACUUGGUGAAGCAGCACGGAACCAGUUAACAAAUGUGAGGCAUCCAUGCUACUCUUUUUUUGAGGCUAAUUGUUGCUGAUUGUGGCUAGACUAUGGAAAAGGAUAUUCAACCUGAAGAUCUUCCAGCAAAUGUGUGAAAUAUUGGGUAAACCAAAAACUUGGUGAAGCAGCACGGAACCAGUUAACAAAUGUGAGGCAUCCAUGCUACUCUUUUUUUGAGGCUAAUUGUUGCUGAUUGUGGCUAGACUAUGGAAAAGGAUAUUCAACCUGAAGAUCUUCCAGCAAAUGUGUGAAAUAUUGGGUAAACCAAAAACUUGGUGAAGCAGCACGGAACCAGUUAACAAAUGUGAGGCAUCCAUGCUACUCUUUUUUUGAGGCUAAUUGUUGCUGAUUGUGGCUAGACUAUGGAAAAGGAUAUUCAACCUGAAGAUCUUCCAGCAAAUGUGUGAAAUAUUGGGUAAACCAAAAACUUGGUGAAGCAGCACGGAACCAGUUAACAAAUGUGAGGCAUCCAUGCUACUCUUUUUUUGAGGCUAAUUGUUGCUGAUUGUGGCUAGACUAUGGAAAAGGAUAUUCAACCUGAAGAUCUUCCAGCAAAUGUGUGAAAUAUUGGGUAAACCAAAAACUUGGUGAAGCAGCACGGAACCAGUUAACAAAUGUGAGGCAUCCAUGCUACUCUUUUUUUGAGGCUAAUUGUUGCUGAUUGUGGCUAGACUAUGGAAAAGGAUAUUCAACCUGAAGAUCUUCCAGCAAAUGUGUGAAAUAUUGGGUAAACCAAAAACUUGGUGAAGCAGCACGGAACCAGUUAACAAAUGUGAGGCAUCCAUGCUACUCUUUUUUUGAGGCUAAUUGUUGCUGAUUGUGGCUAGACUAUGGAAAAGGAUAUUCAACCUGAAGAUCUUCCAGCAAAUGUGUGAAAUAUUGGGUAAACCAAAAACUUGGUGAAGCAGCACGGAACCAGUUAACAAAUGUGAGGCAUCCAUGCUACUCUUUUUUUGAGGCUAAUUGUUGCUGAUUGUGGCUAGACUAUGGAAAAGGAUAUUCAACCUGAAGAUCUUCCAGCAAAUGUGUGAAAUAUUGGGUAAACCAAAAACUUGGUGAAGCAGCACGGAACCAGUUAACAAAUGUGAGGCAUCCAUGCUACUCUUUUUUUGAGGCUAAUUGUUGCUGAUUGUGGCUAGACUAUGGAAAAGGAUAUUCAACCUGAAGAUCUUCCAGCAAAUGUGUGAAAUAUUGGGUAAACCAAAAACUUGGUGAAGCAGCACGGAACCAGUUAACAAAUGUGAGGCAUCCAUGCUACUCUUUUUUUGAGGCUAAUUGUUGCUGAUUGUGGCUAGACUAUGGAAAAGGAUAUUCAACCUGAAGAUCUUCCAGCAAAUGUGUGAAAUAUUGGGUAAACCAAAAACUUGGUGAAGCAGCACGGAACCAGUUAACAAAUGUAGCUGAUGUUGGGCAUUCAUUCAUGCUUAUACUGGAGCAUUCAGUUGUGAGGCAUCCAUGCUACUCUUUUUGAGGCUAAUUGUUGCUGAUUGUGGCUAGACUAUGGAAAAGGAUAUUCAACCUGAAGAUCUUCCAGGAAAUGUGUAGGGUAAACCAAAAACUUGGUGAAACAGCGAGGAACCAGUUAACAAAUGUGAGGAUGGACAAUAAAUUUAAAUUACACUACUAUAUAAACUGCACUAUAUAUUUUGGCAAGGAUCUGUCUUGCAUUUAUUGAAAGAUUGCCCAUUGUAUUGAAUAUAACAUUAAGGGGCAUGAGUUCCAGAUUUCCAAAAAAAUACAUUAAAUGAAAACUAAUUCGAUUUCAAUCUUUUUUGACUAGUUAGUACUGUAAAUACUUUUAAUACGAUGAAUAUCACUAUGACUAAAGAGACCAUUGGUUUGUGAAGGUUGUCAAUGAAAUGUAAAUCCCUUGGUUUUCACAAGUAGUGGAUUCAGUAAUUUGCAUUUAUAAAUGGCAUGGACAAUUUUGGGGACAGGCAGCUAGUUUGUAUAUUUGCAUUGGAUCAGCUCAUUUACUAAGAGAUGAUGUUCCAUAGUUCAACUGAAUUCUUGCGUAUAUAAUAUAUUAAUGGUAUGCACACAAUUUGAAAAGCAGUGCAUACUGCAUAUUUCUAUUGAACAAUCUUGCUCAAUAGAAAACUAGUGUAUUUAAAUUGCAUUCUAUCUUUCUAUGUCCUUGGUGUACAAUUAAGUUCUGAAAGUUCAAAUUUCUAAAUAUUAUGUUUGUGAUGUAAUCUUUCUUGCAAAUAUAGUUGAAGCUGAAGAAUAAAAUGCAUAAGGA